rnacentral:tRNA from 2 species
UUAAUUGAAGCCAAAUAGAGGCUUAUCACUGUUAAUGAUAAAAUUGAGAAAAUCUCCAAUUAAA